AGAUGGAGAGGACGCUCUGCCAUUUAGAGGUCCUACUGAGUGGGCACACCUUUUCCCCUCGAGAAAACCUUGUUUCUACCAGAGAAAUGGGCAGAGGCCUCUCUCUGGAACUUGAACCUCUCUGUCCCUGGAAACAUCCCAAAGCAGGCCCAGCCUGCCAUGUUCCUUUGUUGGGGCACAGAGGGAAUGGAAUCUUACCGAUAAGGUGAGAAGAGCUUGAGAGAAUACCAAGGACGGGCCCACCCUUCUCCCUCCUCCCUCCAAACACCUCAGGCUAAAAGGGGAGGGAAAAAAAAGGCACCAACAAAGAGUUUAAGACAGCAAUUCCCAGCUUUUUCAAAUAUGAAGCAUUUUUUAACCAAUCCGUUUUUUAAUUCUUAAAUUCUUGACAUUACAGAACUAAACUGAAAUUUAUUAACAUUCCACUCUUACAUUUCUUAUCGACAAACAGAAAUAAAAUUCAUGAGCCAAAAAACCCAAAACAAAACUAAAAACAGGGAAAAGCUUAUAAAACUAAAUAUGGAUCCCAGCAUUAACAGCUGAACAGAGAAUGUGAUUUUUAAAUUCUUAGCGGAUGAUAAAGUUGUGUAGAAACUGAACACUUACAAAUUAUUUAAAACCUGGAAUCACUGACCAGAAAUUACACAGUUGGAUCAUGGGAGAACAGCAGAAAGGGGUUAUUGAGGGAACCUACACUGUUCUAGCUGCACCCCAUGCCCUUCUCAGAGGAAAGCCUGGCAUUGAUUAGAUACUGGGCCAGACUAAUACUGGCAGCAGAGCCAGUGAUAGUAACCUGCCUACCAGAGGAGCCUUCCACUGGGUUGGCAAUUUUGAUCUGGGCCCCGGACAUCUGGCGGAUCUCAUUAAUGUUGGCGCCUUGGCGCCCGAUUAUGCAGCCAAUUAAGUUAUUUGGAAUGGUGAGUUCAUGGGUGGUUUGAGUAGAUGCAUCCAAACUUGCCCAAUAGCCUUUCACCUCUGGAGAGCUGGAGUCAAUUCCGGCGAAUCCGGUCCCGCCGUGCAUCAUGGCAAAGUGAGACUGUUGUCUUGCCACCUGGUUCAGCUUGGCCAGAUCGAGCGGAGAAAUGGUGUGUUGUCCUUGAAUCGAGUAGGCAUCUAGAGGUGGUCCCUCCAGGUCAUGGGUGGCAUGGGGGUAGCCCGCAGCGUCGCUGCACCGAUCUUGGCCGCCCGCGCAGAUGACUGGGGAGCUGGCCGGCAUGGGCUGGUACGGAAUGGUCAUGACUCUCCCUUGCGGAGACUGGGAGAGCGUCUCCAGCAUGACCAGGCAAAUCUGCUUGACACACUCGGUGACAGACUGCGGCACGCCAGCGAUGGUGAUGGCCCGCUCGGUGGAGUUGGGCAGCAUAUCCCCCGCCACCUGGACCUGCGCCCCCGUACUCUCGCGGAUCUCUUUGAUCUUACACCCGCCUUUCCCAAUCAGGGAGCCGCACUGGGUGGCCGGCACCACCAGCCUCAGGGUGACCGGGGGCCUGCUGGCCGCGGUACUGUUGGUCAUGGAGCUGUUGAUAUCUUCCUCCAGCUUGUCGAUGAUCAUAGCGAAAGCCUUAAAGAUGGCAUUGGUGGGGCCGGUCAGAGUGAUGAUUCUCUCCGGACAAUUCCCCUCCGAGAUGUUGAUCCGCGCGCCACUCUCCUCGCGGAUCCUCUUAACCGACUCCCCUUUCUUCCCAAUGAUGCUUCCUACUUCCUUUCCGUGCAUAAGAAGCCGAAUGAGGAAGACAAACAUAAAGAUGAAGUGCUUAAUUCAAGGUCACACAAUGUCGGGGAUGGACCUCCAGAUUUCCUUACUGACCUGCAUUAUCUUGUGGAUACCUGAGUGAAUUCCACACCACCCAUUUUAUAGAUGAAACCACUGAGACAUGGAGCAAUUGACUGAGUAGUCACUGCCCCACCCCUGCCUGGAGCCUCACACAUGACUCGCCUCCUCUCAGUGACCACAGGAAAACAAGCUCAGGGCUCCCACUGAUUGUACAUUAUGAGACGGAGUCUUGCUAUGUUGCCCAGGCUGGUCUUGAACUCCUCACCUCAAGCGAUCCUCCCGUCUUGGCCUCCCAAGUGUCAGGAUUACGGGCAUGUGCUAUCACACCCAACCUGAUACAUUGCCUUUAUAAAUUUUUUUUUCUUUAUUCUAAAAACCAGAAAAAACAAAACUGGAUACAUGUGCAGAACAUGCAGGUGAGACGUGGUCUUGUAACACAGUGGUUAAGAAUGUGACUUUGGAGCCAGCCUGCUAGGGGCUGAAUUCUGACUCAGCCAUUUACUAACUGUGUGACCUUAGGUGGAGUCUCACUCUGUAGCCCAAGCUGGAGUGGCGUGAUCUCGACUCACUGCAACCUCCGCCUCCUGGGAUCAAGUGAUUCUCGUGCCUCAGCCUCCUGAGUAGCCGGGACUACAG
rnacentral:lncRNA from 1 species